AGGGGAUGGUGCCUUGGCGAGCCUGCUAGUCCGAGCCCUGGGGAUUCGUCCCGUCCUGCUCUCGGUUCAGUCAGCCGUUAUGUCCUUUCCGUGACCUCCUCCAGCAGGGUUUUAGGAACUAAAGAAAGAGGCCGUUUUCUCAGAGAUGAAAUAAGAUACUACGUUUUUGUAGGAAUUUUUCAAGAGACCACUGAACCAUAAAAGACGUAUUUUCAAACUUGAAAAUUGCACCGUGUUUCAAAAACAUUCAUAGCCAUCCACCCUAUGACUAAAUCAUGAAGAACGUCACAGAAUUAAGACAGCUAAAAUCAGGAAAGCAGAUGUGGAGGCAUUAGAAAGAAGACAGAGGUGGACCCUUCAUUUUGUUUGUUGUCAGGAACAUUGCUGCAGGGUCAGGUGUCUUCCUGCGCAGCGAUCUGUCUUGGACAGGAGGACUUGAGGGGGAGACCGGCAGACAGUCUGUUCUGUGCCGUGCUCGAGGGCCAGCAGCAGGCUUGGACAAACCGCUUUACCUGACCCACUGUUGGUCCACCACUGGAAAGGAUGCAUAGUACAUAACUAAGAUUGAUGUGCUGAACCAAAGGAACAUAAUUAAAUCGCAUAUAUUAGUCACAGGUAUGUUAAGUUACUUGUGUCAGACUUUUUAUAAAACUUAUUUUAUUAAUGAAAUCUUUCAUUGUCAUAAUACCUUUAUAUAUUUUCUGUCUUUCCAAUUCUAUUUGAAUUUUCUCAAUGUAAA
rnacentral:lncRNA from 1 species